AGCAGCCGCGGUAAUUCCAGCUCCAAUAGCGUAUAUUAAAGUUGUUGCAGUUAAAAGCUCGUAGUUGAAUUUCGGGGUUUAUCCGUUGGUCGGGCUUUUUGGUCUGUACUGGCGUGAUGGAUUCCUACCUUCUGAAUAACCGGCAUGCCAUUAAUUUGGUGCGCCGGGGAAGCAGGACUGUUACCUUGAAAAAAUUAGAGUGCUUAAAGCAGGCUUAUGCCUGAAUACAUUAGCAUGGAAUAAUGAAAUAGGACGGCAUGGUUCUAUUUUGUUGGUUUCUAGGAUCACCGUAAUGAUUAAUAGGGAUAGUUGGGGGCAUUAGUAUUCAAUUGUCAGAGGUGAAAUUCUUGGAUUUAUUGAAGACUAACUUCUGCGAAAGCACUUGCCAAGGAUGUUUUCAUUAAUCAAGAACGAAAGUUAGGGGAUCGAAGACGAUCAGAUACCGUCGUAGUCUUAACCAUAAACUAUGCCGACUAGGGAUCGGACGAUGUUAAUUUUUUAAUGACUCGUUCGGCGCCUU
rnacentral:rRNA from 1 species